AAUAGAUACCCCGGUAGUCCACGCCGUAAACGUUGGGCGCUAGGUGUGGGGGCCAUUCCACGGUCUCCGUGCCGCAGCUAACGCAUUAAGCGCCCCGCCUGGGGAGUACGGCCGCAAGGCUAAAACUCAAAGGAAUUGACGGGGGCCCGCACAAGCGGCGGAGCAUGUUGCUUAAUUCGAUGCAACGCGAAGAACCUUACCAAGGCUUGACAUAUACGAGAACGGGCCAGAAAUGGUCAACUCUUUGGACACUCGUAAACAGGUGGUGCAUGGUUGUCGUCAGCUCGUGUCGUGAGAUGUUGGGUUAAGUCCCGCAACGAGCGCAACCCUCGUUCUAUGUUGCCAGCACGUAAUGGUGGGAACUCAUGGGAUACUGCCGGGGUCAACUCGGAGGAAGGUGGGGAUGACGUCAAAUCAUCAUGCCCCUUAUGUCUUGGGCUUCACGCAUGCUACAAUGGCCGGUACAAAGGGCUGCAAUACCGUAAGGUGGAGCGAAUCCCAAAAAGCCGGUCCCAGUUCGGAUUGAGGUCUGCAACUCGA
rnacentral:rRNA from 1 species